rnacentral:misc_RNA from 1 species
UACGGAGGGUGCGAGCGUUGUUCGGAAUCAUUGGGCGUAAAGCGCGCGCAGGCGGCAGGCCGAGUCUAGGGGUGAAAUGCCGGAGCUCAACUCCGUGCCCGCCCCAGAUACUGGUCGGCUAGAGACACGUAGAGGCAAGCGGAAUUCCGGGUGUAGCGGUGGAAUGCGUAGAGAUCCGGAAGAACACCGGAGGCGAAGGCGGCUUGCUGGGCGUGAUCUGACGCUGAGGCGCGAAAGCGUGGGGAGCGAACAGG